rnacentral:rRNA from 1 species
CUGGCGGCGUGCCUAACACAUGCAAGUCGAACGGUAACAGGUCUUCGGAUGCUGACGAGUGGCGCACGGGUGAGUAACGCGUGGAUAUCUGCCUAUUAGUGGGGGACAACUUGUGGAAACGCAAGCUAAUACCGCAUAAUCCCUACGGGGGAAAGCAGGGGACCUUCGGGCCUUGUGCUGAUAGAUGAGUCCGCGUCUGAUUAGCUAGUUGGUAGGGUAAAGGCCUACCAAGGCGAUGAUCAGUAUCUGGUUUGAGAGGAUGAUCAGACACACUGGAACUGAGACACGGUCCAGACUUCUACGGAAGGCAGCAGUGGGGAAUAUUGCACAAUGGGCGCAAGCCUGAUGCAGCGACGCCGCGUGUGGGAAGAAGGCUUUAGGGUUGUAAACCACUUUCAAUUGGGAAGAAGAGAUGAGAGUUAAUAACUUUCUGAUUUGACGGUACCUUUAGAAGAAGCACCGGCUAAUUUCGUGCCAGCAGCCGCGGUAAUACGAAAGGUGCAAGCGUUGUUCGGAUUUACUGGGCGUAAAGAGAGUGUAGGUUGUUUAUUAAGUCGGAUGUGAAAUCCCGGGGCUCAACCUCGGAACUGCAUUCGAUACUGGUAGACUAGAGUUCGGGAGGGGUAAGCGGAAUUCCGUGUGUAGCAGUGAAAUGCGUAGAUAUACGGAGGAACACCUGAGGCGAAGGCGGCUUACUGGACCGAUACUGACACUGAGACUCGAAAGCGUGGGUAGCAAACAGGAUUAGAUACCCUGGUAGUCCACGCCCUAAACGAUGUCAACUAGCCGUUGCGGGUAUCGACCCCUGCAGUGGCGAAGCUAACGCGAUAAGUUGACCGCCUGGGGAGUAC